GAAAUGCGAUAAGUAAUGUGAAUUGCAGAAUCUCGUGAAUCAUCGAAUCUUUGAACGCACAUUGCGCCCUAUGGUAUUCCGUAGGGCAUGCCUGUUCGAGCGUCAUUUAAAGCCCCUCGGCGGCCGGUUUCUUUUUAACUCGCGCCGCCGGCGUUGGCGCUCCGCUUGGCCCCGUGCUUGCGGGCCAGGCGGGCUGCCCAAAUGCAGCGGCGGACCGUUCCGGGCCUCCCAGCGCAGUAGCAAUAGCCUCGCUGCGGAAGGAAGGGACGGCUUCUGGCCCCAUUCGUCGACAUUUUCGUCGUCGACUUUUCAAGAGCUUGACCUCGGAUCAGGUAGGACUACCCGCUGAACUUAAGC
rnacentral:misc_RNA from 1 species